rnacentral:rRNA from 1 species
AAGCUGGCGGCGUGCUUACCAUGCCAGUCGCACGGAGCUUAUCUGGAAAGCUUGCUUUUCGCUUAAGCUUAUUGGCGGACGGGUGAGUAACGCGUGAGCAACCUGCCCUAGAGUGGGGAAUAACACCGAGAAAUCUGUGCUAAUACCGCAUAAUGUCCGAGGACCGCAUGAUCCACCGACCAAAGGAUUUAUUCGCUUUAAGAUGGGCUCGCGUCCAAUUAGGCAGUUGGCGGGGUAACUGCCCACCACACCGACGAUCGGUAUCCGAACUGAGAGGUUGAUCGGCCACAUUGGUGACUGAGACACGGCCCACACUCCUACGGGACGCAUCACUGGGGAAUAUUGGGCAAUGGGCGAAAGCCUGACCCACCAACCCCUCGUGAAGGAUGAAGGUCUUCGGAUUGUAAACUUCUUUGAUUGGGGAAGAAAAGAAUGACCUACCCUCAGGAACAGUCACGGCUAACUACAUGCCAGCAGCCGCGGUAAU